UAUAAUGACUUUAACCCUAAAUUUUAUCUGAAGAUCAAUCAUUCUACAUAUCUCUAUUCAUCGACUCCAUCUCCAUCGUAGUCUCUCUUCGCCGAGUAUCGUCCAUCGGCUUCCCUCCCCUGCUAUAGCCAUCGCCUAUUGCCGCCCAUCGGAGUUCCCUCCUCCGCCAUAACCAUCGCCACCUGCAGUCGUUUUUCAUCCUAGACAGAACCGUUGUAGCCUGGGUCCUGACAAUGCGUGGGUCUUCCUCGACUACUCCAUCUUCUGUUGCUUCAUCUCCUUAGUAGUCGCUGACUGCUUACUCGGUACCGUUACUUCCUACGUUCUGGAAGUAAGGUUUGACUCAGUUCUGGCACCAUACAAGACCAUACAUGCAAUGCC